UGACUAGUAGCUCAAUGGUAGAGCAUACGGCUGUUAACCGUAGGGUUGUAGGUUCGAGUCCUAUCUAGUCAG
rnacentral:tRNA from 1 species